rnacentral:rRNA from 1 species
UACGGAGGGUGCGAGCGUUGUCCGGAAUCACUGGGCGUAAAGGGCGCGUAGGCGGUGCGAGAAGCGUGUGGUGAAGGGCCGGGGCUCAACUCCGGCCCGGCCGUGCGGACUCUCGCGCUUUGUGAGUGCUGUAGAGGCGGGCGGAAUUCCGGGUGUAGCGGUGGAAUGCGUAGAGAUCCGGAAGAACACCGGUGGCGAAGGCGGGUUGCUGGGCUGACACUGACGCUGAUGCGCGAAAGCUAGGGGAGCGAACGGG